ACCAGACCUGCUGGCCUCCAGGAAGGUAGCAGGGAAAAACUGGUUAACCAGACCUGCUGGCCUCUGGGAAGGUAGCAGGGGACCUGCUGGCCUCCGGGAAGGUAGCAGGGGAAAAUUUAACCAGACCUGCUGGCCUCUGAGAAGGUAGCAGGGGACCUGCUGGCCUCCGGGAAGGUAGCAGG